GGCUUAGAGUUUGAUCAUGGCUCAGGAUAAACGCUGGCGGCGCACAUAAGACAUGCAAGUCGAACGGAAGUCGUUAUAAAAAGGAUUGAAGAUUUAUCUGAUUGAUAUUUUAUAACAAUGGCUUUAGUGGCGGACUGGUGAGUAACGCGUGAGCAACCUGCCUAUUAGAGGGGAAUAACAGUGAGAAAUCAUUGCUAAUACCGCAUAUGCCAUGAACAUCACAUGAUGAAAAUGGGAAAGGAGCAAUCCGCUAAUAGAUGGGCUCGCGUCUGAUUAGAUAGUUGGUGGGGUAAUGGCCUACCAAGUCGACGAUCAGUAGCCGGACUGAGAGGUUGAACGGCCACAUUGGGACUGAGAUACGGCCCAGACUCCUACGGGAGGCAGCAGUCGGGAAUAUUGCGCAAUGGAGGAAACUCUGACGCAGUGACGCCGCGUAUAGGAAGAAGGUUUUCGGAUUGUAAACUAUUGUCGUUAGGGAAGAUAAAAGACAGUACCUAAGGAGGAAGCUCCGGCUAACUACGUGCCAGCAGCCGCGGUAAUACGUAGGGAGCAAGCGUUAUCCGGAUUUAUUGGGUGUAAAGGGUGCGUAGACGGGAUAUUAAGUUAGUUGUGAAAUCCCUCGGCUUAACUGAGGAACUGCAACUAAAACUGGUAUUCUUGAGUGUUGGAGAGGAAAGUG
rnacentral:rRNA from 1 species